CCUACGGGUGGCAGCAGUGAGGAAUAUUGGUCAAUGGGCGCGAGCCUGAACCAGCCAAGUAGCGUGAGGGAUGAAUGCCCUACGGUUUGUAAACUUCUUUUAUAAAGGAAUAAAGUGAGGCACGCGUGCCUUUUUGUAUGUACUUUAUGAAUAAGGAUCGGCUAACUCCGUGCCAGCAGCCGCGGUAAUACGGAGGAUCCGAGCGUUAUCCGGAUUUAUUGGGUUUAAAGGGUGCGUAGAUGGGUUGUUAAGUCAGUGGUGAAAGUUUGCGGCUCAACCGUAAAAUUGCAAUUGAUACUGGGAGUCUUGAGUAUAGUUGAGGCAGGCGGAAUGCGUGGUGUAGCGGUGAAAUGCUUAGAUAUCACGAAGAACCCCGAUUGCGAAGGCAGCUUACUAAGCUGUGACUGACACUGAUGCACGAAAGCGUGGGGAUCAAACAGGAUUAGAUACCCGAGUAGUC
rnacentral:rRNA from 1 species